GGUCCUGUGACUCAUUUGGUAGAGCAUUGCGAUUACAACGCCAAGAGUUGUGGGUUCGAUUCCCGUUGGGGCCA
rnacentral:tRNA from 1 species